AACGAACGCUGGCGGCAUGCCUAACACAUGCAAGUCGAACGAAGUCUUCGGACUUAGUGGCGCACGGGUGCGUAACGCGUGGGAAUCUGCCCUUGGGUGCGGAAUAACUUCUCGAAAGGGAUGCUAAUACCGCAUAAUGUCGUAAGACCAAAGAUUUAUCGCCCAAGGAUGAGCCCGCGUAAGAUUAGCUAGUUGGUGGGGUAAAAAGCCUACCAAGGCGACGAUCUUUAGCUGGUCUGAGAGGAUGAUCAGCCACACUGGGACUGAGACACGGCCCAGACUCCUACGGAGGCAACAGUGGGGAAUAUU
rnacentral:rRNA from 1 species